CGCAGCUUCAGCCGAAACAAUCGCCUACAUUCCCCUGCUCUCUGGUGACCGAAGCACUCGCCAUACAGUCACGUCUAAAGCUAGCUGGGAAGGCAACGACGGUAUCGUGGCGUACGAAGACGUCCGAAACUCUCAUAUUUCUCCUCCUUCCGCUCCGCUUCUACCCGAAACGAUCGAGGAAGCUUUAAAUCAAGCCCUGGCCGUCGGAGCUCCUCUUAUUGCAGUCAGACUUCCUGCCAAGUGGCUGAACACUUCCCUGCAGCCUCACCCUGCUACAGGUUUCCUGGAUUCUACCUACAGGCUUCCCUGAUCUCUCCUUGCUACGGGUUGAAGGCUGAGCAGGCUCUUCCUUACAGGCGUUAAUCCCUGCAGGUUUCCGACGUUUCCUCCUUACGACUUCCCGGCAUCCCAGACAUCCUCUAUAUGUUAUCUUUCAAGCAGAGCAAUCCAACUUGCAUCUGUCCGUAGGAAACUCCAGCCCUAAACAGAGCAGUCUCCUUUCCUGGCUGUUCUUCUCUGCAGGCUUUCUUGCAGGUCUUCCCUCCUGCGGUCAGACCUUCUUCACAUCUCCUCUAGCAGCCGGAACUAGCAGCAUAAAUUUUCUCCAACAGCAGUCCAACAUUGGAAUCCUCCCUGCAGCCCCUAACCAGGCUGCAACAUGGACAUUCCUUGCCGCAAGCCCCUCAUUCUUUGGCCGAAUCUUCCUUCAGCAACGAUAACUGCCAGAAAUGGCAACAGCAACAACCAGCAAUGGCAGGAGCAACAUCAGAAAUAAUAGCAUUCAACUAGGAGAUGCUCUAAACACUCUUGGAGAUGAUGACAACACUGGAUGAGGAUGUUAAAUUUUACUCCGUAGGUGAAUUUUAAGUUAAAGACUAGGGAUGCUGUCCACAUGACUCCCGAACUCUCUAACUUUAUUACAAUUCAUAAAUUAAAUGGUCAUAACUAUCUUUCAUGGCCAAAUCCGUGUUUAUGCACAUUUGCAGUAAAGUGAAAGAGGAACAUGCACUGUUUUUGAGAUCAUUGACCCCAACUAUCGCACAUAGAAAAAUCAAGAUCAUAUGGUUAUGCCUUGGUUAGUCAACUCAAUGACUGCUUAAAUGGGAGAGAAUUUUCUGCUUUACAAAACUACUAAAGAAAUUUGGGAGGCUGCAAGAGAAAUAUAUUCCAACACUGAGAACACGACAUAGUUGUUUGAGAUCGAAAUCAAGCUCAUGACAUCCAACAAAGAGGGCUGAACGUCACCUCACCCAAUAUUUCAACAGUCUCAAAGUAUUAGCUACAAUUGGAGAUAUUCGAGACACAUGUGUGAAAUUAUUCACAAGCUACCAUGAUAUUUAAAUCCAUCAUUGAGAAAAAGAGGAGAAUCAAAUUCCUUGUAAGACUGUCUCAGGAAUUGAAUGAGGUGAGAGAGAGGGUCAUGGGAACAAAACCUCUUCCACCUCAAUGUGAAGCCUUUGCUGAAGUUACGAGAGAAGAGAUUAGAAAGAAGCUGAUGCCGACCAUAAAUGCAUUUACCAAGCAUUAAAAGUUCAUCUCUUUACACCCAUAAUCCUUCUCAUGAUUCAAAGGUAAAGAAGAAUUGUCCCACAUGUGAUUAUUGUAAGAAGACCGGCUAUAUCAAAACAAAUAUUAUAAACUCCGUGGAAAGCUUAUUGAUUGAAAACCUGGGUAGGGAAGGAAGGAUAAGAGAAAAAGGCUAAUGCUGCUACAAAAUCCAAAGGAUUGAAGGAAUCAUUCACCAAGAAACGAUUUGAAGUACUGAAGAAAGAACUUGAAGGUACUUCAGAGUAAGACACCAACCUCAUGACACGCGAGGUCAUAAAUUCUUCUUCCAUCUUGCCAGUAAUGUGAGAUUUAA